rnacentral:rRNA from 1 species
GCACAAGCGGUGGAGCAUGUGGUUUAAUUCGACGCAACGCGAAGAACCUUACCAGGCUUGACAUCCCCUGACCGCGUAUGAAAGUACGUUUUCACCCUCGGGUGACAGGGAGACAGGUGGUGCAUGGUUGUCGUCAGCUCGUGUCGUGAGAUGUUGGGUUAAGUCCCGCAACGAGCGCAACCCCUACGUUUAGUUGCUAACAGGUGAAGCUGAGCACUCUAGACGAACUGCCGUUGACAAAACGGAGGAAGGUGGGGAUGACGUCAAAUCAUCAUGCCCCUUAUGUUCUGGGCUACACACGUGCUACAAUGGCCGGUACAGACGGAGGCGAAGCCGCGAGGCGGAGCAAAUCCGAAAAAGCCGGUCUCAGUUCGGAUUGCAGGCUGCAAUUCGCCUGCAUGAAGUCGGAAUCGCUGGUAAUCGCAGGUCAGCAUACUGCGGUGAAUACGUUCCCGGGCCUU